rnacentral:rRNA from 1 species
CGAAGGGUGCAAGCGUUACUCGGAAUUACUGGGCGUAAAGCGUGCGUAGGCGGUUUGUUAAGUCUGUCGUGAAAGCCCCGGGCUCAACCUGGGAAUGGCGAUGGAAACUGGCGAGCUAGAGUACGGUAGAGGAGAGUGGAAUUCCCGGUGUAGCAGUGAAAUGCGUAGAGAUCGGGAGGAACAUCAGUUGCGAAGGCGGCUCUCUGGACCAGUACUGACGCUGAGGCACGAAAGCGUGGGGAGCAAACAGGAUUAGAUACCCUGGUAGUCCACGCCCUAAACGAUGCGAACUGAACGUUGGGAGCAAUUAGGCUCUCAGUGUCGAAGCUAACGCGUUAAGUUCGCCGCCUGGGGAGUACGGUCGCAAGACUG